CCUACGGGUGGCAGCAGUGGGGAAUAUUGGACAAUGGGGGCAACCCUGAUCCAGCCAUGCCGCGUGUGUGAAGAAGGCCCUCGGGUUGUAAAGCACUUUCAGUGAGGAAGAACGCCUGGUGGUUAAUACCCAUCAGGAAAGACAUCACUCACAGAAGAAGCACCGGCUAACUCCGUGCCAGCAGCCGCGGUAAUACGGAGGGUGCGAGCGUUAAUCGGAAUUACUGGGCGUAAAGCGCGCGUAGGUGGCUUGAUAAGCCGGUUGUGAAAGCCCCGGGCUCAACCUGGGAACGGCAUCCGGAACUGUCAAGCUAGAGUGCAGGAGAGGAAGGUAGAAUUCCCGGUGUAGCGGUGAAAUGCGUAGAGAUCGGGAGGAAUACCAGUGGCGAAGGCGGCCUUCUGGACUGACACUGACACUGAGGUGCGAAAGCGUGGGUAGCAAACAGGAUUAGAUACCCCGGGUAGUC
rnacentral:rRNA from 1 species